GUCCAGGGUCAGCCCGGCCUGCGGCCCUGGUUACGGCUUUGUCCCUCGGGCUGGAACUGGUCCCAUGCUAGCAGGCUUAGAAUGGCUGGCUGUCAGGGAGGGCAAUGCUUACCGAAAAGGAAUGGAGCUCUUGGCUGGAGAGGGGUUGAGGUCUGCCUUUAGCCUCUGAAAUCCUCAUGAAGACUUCAACCAAGGAGGGGGAGAGAGCAGAGAGGGAAGUGGGUGUGGGAGUGGCCCAGACUCUGGAGGACAUAACUUCCAGAAGUGCCUCCGGAGGAGGUCCCAGUUGCUGCUCCAAGUCACCCCUGCAGCCAGGUUCCCCGAGCCCUUCCAGAGAUGGUCAGCAGUGGAGAGUCAGAGAGGAAGCACACUGAGGCAUCACUGUAGCCCUACACACAUUGCCUUGGUGGCCCCAAGCCCUCCAGGGUCAUGCUGAGAUGGAGUCAGAGCUUGGCAUCAGCCUCCCUCCGCAGCCCCUGCACACACGGCAACCUGCAGGAAGAGAUGAAUGAGCCGAGGCCCAGGACACUGGAGCAGAUAUUUAUUGGUGGUAGGAUGUGCCAGGCCCUGUCCCAGGUGUGAGGAAUCCCGCGGUGAACGCCCUGGUCAGCCAGCGAUGUCCUGGAGUGGACCGCCGGUGGGGACAGAUGUCUGGCACACCUGUGACCUGGUAAAUCCACAAACCACAACUGGCUCUUUGGGAUGCGUAGUGGGAAGGUGCAUGCCAGGCUGAGUGCUGGGGAAGAGCAUCAGGGAGGUCCCGGUGCCAAGGCCCUGAGGCAGAGAUGGCUCCAUGAGAUCCAGGGUUGGGAAGGAGGUGGACAAGCAAUGGGACAGAUGAAGCCAAAGGUGCAGGGCCUUUGGGCUGAGGCGGGGAGGAGGUUGGGCUCAUUCCCAUCUCUCAAUUUCAGGGAUCAGCUUAUUAGAGUUGGAGCCCUUAUGAUUCUGUGGCCCCUGUUGGGAGGUGAUGUCUCUAGCUUGUUAAAAGCUCUGGGUGAUUCUCUUCAAGGCAGCCAUUCGUUAGUUCACUUAUUCAUCAGCAAACAUCUCCAGAGCCAGCUGUGCUGGGGGCUGGGUGAGGAAAGACCUGGUCCCCGACCUCCAGGAGGGGCAGUGUGAUAGGGUUGGGGAAUAGAGACAAGCAGAGGGUGCAAAGCCCCACUGGAGGUCAGGGAGGGCUUCCUGGAGGAGGUAUCAUCUGAACAGAGCUGCACUGGCACACAGUUCCAGACAGGCCAGACAAGCAGCCACACGGUGUGCUGAGGGCAGGGGGAGUAAGGGAAGGGGUCCUAACAAGGCCUGCAGCCCCUACAGCAGGAGCCCCUGAGCUCAAAGCUUCCUGCGCCCCCUUUCACAGAAGGGGAGACAGAGGCCCAGGAAUGCAGUGGGUCUGGCGCCCCUGUGGUCUGAAUUGCCCCUGGCAGCUUGUAACCGGAGCAGAGCAGACCGAGGGCUGAUUCGAAGCUGACUCAGCUCCGCACGUGCGCGGGUGCGUGCUUGUGCGUGGGAUCUGUCAGCCCUGGGAUUUUGGGCUCCCUCCCUCAUUUGCUGAACAAGCCUCCUCAAGUUACUUAAUCUCCCUGAGCCCCUUCACAUCUGUAGGAUGCGUGCUGCUCUCCAUACCUGGCUGAGUUCUUGGAGGUGGUACAGGCCUGGCCCUUGCGUAGAGCGCAGGAGACUCAGAAGAAGUGUGUGACCCUGGGCCUCAGGCCGUCCCUGCGCUCCGUUCCGUGCAGCCCACUCCCCACCCCAGGGGAAAGAACGCCUAGCAUCUUCUCUUUUUUGCCCUCCCACCUUGCAUGGCUAUGGGGCAGACAGCACUUCACCAUGAGGGAGCCUGAGGGACACUGAGGCCCAGAGAUCGUGAGCUGCCAGCUUAGGUCACAGAGCAGGGGCCUGGCACCUUGAGCAGAGAUGCCCCCAUCACCGGGCUCAGAGUCCCUGGGAGCAGAGGCAGCCUGGCCGGAUCACAGACGCAGGCCAGGGUGUGGAAGGAAACUGCCCCACCCCCGCCGUCCCCUGCUACAUAGGCGAC